rnacentral:rRNA from 1 species
GAUGAACGCUGGCGGCGUGCCUAAUACAUGCAAGUCGAACGAGGUGCUUGAGUAGCAAUACGAGAGUAUCCUAGUGGCGAACGGGUGAGUAACGCGUUGGUGACCUACCCCAAAGUGUGGGAUAACAGUCCGAAAGGAUUGCUAAUACCGCAUGUGGUCUUCGGGUUUAGAAACCGAUGACGAAAGCAGCAAUGCGCUUUGGGAGGGACCUGCGUCCCAUCAGCAGUUGGUGAGGUAACGGCUCACCAAGGCGACGACGGGUA